GGAUCCGUAGCUCAGCUUGGCAGAGCACUGGACUCUUAAUCCAGGUGUCGGGGGUUCAAAUCCCCUCGGGUCCA
rnacentral:tRNA from 1 species